CAGAUAUCCGGGCGCUGCGGGCCCGGCAUGCUGUUCGCCACCCGGGGUCAGAGGGCGGUGGGCGCCCCGCCCAGGUCGUUGCCGAAAUGCGGGGUUGAAGGCGCGGGUUGGGUGCCACCUGGCCGGUGUCCGCGCGUGGGCGGACCCCGCCAGCUGGGCCCCCUCGCGCGUGGGGCGGCAGAGGACAGAGGAGCCAGGCAGCCGCGGCGGAGGGGAGGGAGAGCGAGAGGGAGAGCGCGCGGCCGCGGGACCCAGCCGGUACCUGGGCACCACUCGCUCCGAGUAGCGGCAUCCCUUCCCCAGGGCACUCUGUGUGCUAGGACGUAGCACAGUGCUCAGGACACGUAAAAGGACUGCAAUCAGACCACGCUCGUUCUCCAACCCCAACGAACGUUGUCAGGAGCGCGCUGUAAAGGCGCGGACAGGAGUUGUGUCUUUGCAAAGUCAGCUUUGCUCAGUCGUAAAGCAGUGGUAGCCAUUGUAAAGCAGGUUCAGGAUUCUAAGCUCAGUGACGUUGCGUUACACGUUGAACUUGGCUUCCUUCAAGUCACGUAAAGUGACAAAAGAGAACAAGGGAUAAGAAGUUUAUGCGCCAACUGCAAAGCCGGUUGAGAUGAAGCCUGGGUCUGGUUCGAAAUGCGUCAGCGGUUCACGCACGCCGCUCACUCUUCGAGCGGAGCAAGCAUCCCCUCCGUUCGGAGAGCCAUGGGGCCGAGAGCCAUGGAGCAUCCCGGGGCAGCGCUCAAGCCCUCAGACGUCGGUUUUAUUUGGGCGCGGGGGGUGGGGGGAGCGCCAGCGUCUGGAGAAUCUGGAGGUUGGUUGCGGAACUCCUACUUUUCACAGGAAUUUAAUCAGCCUUAGGUCUUUCCAGACCUCCUCCGGUUCUUGUGUUUCUCGGCGCCUGGUUCUUCCAGGUUUCAUGGCCUUGUGGGUUCUCAGGCCUUAGUUCUGCCAGUCCGUGCUGGUUUGGGUGAGCUCUGCUCUCGGCUGCUUUCCUGAUUGUAUCACAACCUGGCAUGAGUGACGCCAUCUUGCACUCUAGAGAACUAAGUUAGAAAUCAGCAACAGAAGGAAACCGGGGAAAGUCACAGUUGUGUGGACGUUAAGCAGCGGUCUUCGGUAACUAACGGGGCAAGGAGAGAAUCAUGAGAAAUAAGAUGCUUGUGAAUGAAAAUAAAAACCUAUACUAAAGCUUGUGUGCUGCCUGAUAAUGCAGCGCUUAGAGGGAAAUUUAUGACAAAAACCCCAUAUUAAAAAAAAGAUAAUCUGGAAUCUAGCCUUUGGCCAUAAGAAAUGAGAAAAGCAAACUAAAAAAGCAGAAACAAAAAUAUUGAUUAGGGCAGGAAUAAAUAGAAAACAGAAAAGCAGUGGGGAAAAACUUAACAAAACCAAAAGUUGGUUUUUUGAAAAGAUUAACACACAACAAAACUUUAGCUGCAUUGACCAGGUUAAAAAAAAAAAGAGGAAAACUCUAAUUACCGAAAUCAGGAAAGUGAAAAGAGCACUACUGACUUGGCGAGAUUAAAAUGAUAAUAAGGGAAAAAUAUAAAAACUGUGCCAACAGACUUGAUAAUUUAAGUGAAAUGGAUAAAGUUCUGGAAAAACCAAAAUACAGAACUUGAAGAAGAAAUAGAAAAUAUGAGUAGACCUGUAACAUAUAUAGAACUAUUGCCACUUUUUCUGAGUGUUAUAAAAGGCCUCAUGGACUCCAGAACUUUUAAAGAGGGUGUUCUAUGUCAGUACUUUCUCCUUGGUCCCCACCUCUGAUCCUGCUAGUGGUCUCUAGAAGCUUCUUUCAAAGCUCCUGAGUCCUCAGUCGUGGUCAGGUGUUGAAGGAAGCCACACUCCUCAGCAAGAUAGAGCUAUUGUGGUUUUUUCUCUGGUUAUCCGAGAAGCAGAUACACCUCACUAAAAGGUAUCAUUUUUCUAGAAUUAAUACAGUCUAGCCUUGGGGUGAAAGCGUACAUUUUCUACUAACAUGACUUUGAUCCUGGUCCUUAGAAAAUACCAACACGUUUCUCAUAUUGUUGCCAUGAGGGGCUGCCGGCUCUACCCAACCCUACUGUGCAGGACAAGAGCCACACACGGUGUGGACUUCAUCAUACGUACCUUGCAGUGGUGGCAUUUUUAUAUUUUUCCGAUUGCUGAUGAAAGGAAGCGACCCUGCCUCCUCACCGUCCUCGGGCCACUCCAGCUGUCACGGAAAUGUGCUUUUUCGGGGUCUGGCAAUUGCGAGUUCUCCAGUCCCCGCCCUCCCCAGAUGUACCCAGUCCUAGCAGCCUCAGGAGGUCAACCUGCAGUGUUCCAGGUGCUAUCUCAAGGAGAUCCCCGGGACUCACUUCGUGGGCCCCCCAGCCUCCUGCGUAGGUCUGACGGGCCUGGUGCUCUCCGUGGGGCUUCUACAAAAACACAUCACACGGCGCCCAGGAUUGUUUUCACUGGUGUACCGGACGCUGUGUAUCCAAAAAGCACAGAGCUAGAACAGCCUUUCUCCCGUAGGCACACGGGGUGAGGGGCUGGUCGCCUGAUCGCAGUCAGCCUGAUCUGGGGCAGGUGGAGGCCGAGGUCCGGCUCAGUCCGCUUCUGGGUUCGGAGUAUCUCCGAGGUUGUUGAUACUGUGUGAAAAUCGGAUUGGUUGUUUUGCAGAAUGAUCUCGUAUCCUGCGGUCUUGUGAAGGGAUGUGGCCAUUGCUCUGACAGAAGCCCCCACACAAUGCUGAGUAGAGAUACUCACCCAGUCUGCACUCCCGGGAUCAAUUCCGACUGGUCAUGGCUUACAAUCCUUUUUAUAUGCUUCUGGAUUCGGUUUGCUGAUAUUUUGUGAAGGGUUUUGUGUCAGUGUUCAUCAGAGAUGCUAUGUGAAGCUUUCCUGUGAUGUUCUGGCUGGCUUCGGCCUCGGGAUUAGGAAGCUGACAUCCAGAGCGGCUGUAACUAAACUGGUUCCUGGAGUGAAGGCAUCUGGAUUCUGGUCUGUGACGCCACAAUUGUCUGGACGGGUUCCACCGUCUCAGGACUGUCUGCACCCAGUGACACAGCGUACCUGCUUGUACGACGCAUACACUCAAGCUCCUGUCAUGGUGACCGUCAGCUUUUUGGCGGGAAACCCGAGACGUCGUAGACUUCUCCAUGUCACAAAGAGUUGGAUUUGGGGGAGGGGAUUCACAUACUGAGUCAUUGCCUUUGUCAGGAGGACAAAUUGUGGUGGGAUAGAGUCACAGUGCAUAAGGGGGACCUUAUUUCCUGCUUGACAUGCUGGGGGGAGGGGGCACCUGGGUGGCUCAGUCGGUUGAGCGUCAGACUCUUGAUUUCUGCUCAGGUCAUGAUCCCAGGGUUGUGAGUUCAGGCCCCACCUCGGGCUCUGUUCUGGCAGCAUGGAGCCUACUUGGUUGGGAUUGUGUCUCCCUCUCUCUCUGCUCCUCCCCCACACAUGCUCUGUCCCUCUCUCUCUCUCUCUCUCUCUCUCUCUCAAAAUAAAUAAACUUAAAAAGAAGAGAAAUAU